rnacentral:piRNA from 1 species
UGUUGUUUCAUUUAUCAAAAA